GACGAACCGUGCGAACGUUAUUCGGAAUCACUGGGCUUAAAGCGCGUGUAGGCGGGUCGGCACGUCGGUCGCUGAAAUCCCCCGGCUCAACCGGGGAAGGGGCGCCGAUACGGCCGGCCUCGAGGGGAGUAGGGGGACCUGGAACUUCCGGUGGAGCGGUGAAAUGCGUUGAGAUCGGAAGGAACGCCCGUGGCGAAAGCGAGGUCCUGGGCUCUUACUGACGCUGAGACGCGAAAGCUAGGGGAGCAAACGGG
rnacentral:rRNA from 1 species